rnacentral:rRNA from 1 species
GACGAACCGUACGAACGUUAUUCGGAAUCACUGGGCUUAAAGGGUGCGUAGGCGGCGCGACAAGUUGGGUGUGAAAUCCCUCGGCUCAACCGGGGAACUGCGCCCAAAACUGUCGUGCUCGAGGGAGACAGAGGUGAGCGGAACUUAGGGUGGAGCGGUGAAAUGCGUUGAUAUCCUAAGGAACACCGGUGGCGAAAGCGGCUCACUGGAUCUCUUCUGACGCUGAGGCACGAAAGCUAGGGUAGCGAACGGG